rnacentral:rRNA from 1 species
UACGGGGGGGGCAAGCGUUGUUCGGAAUUACUGGGCGUAAAGGGCUCGUAGGCGGCCAACUAAGUCCGACGUGAAAUCCCCAGGCUUAACCUGGGAACUGCGUCGGAUACUGGAUGGCUUGAAUUCGGGAGAGGGAUGCAGAAUUCCAGGUGUAGCGGUGAAAUGCGUAGAUAUCAGGAGGAACACCGGUGGCGAAGGCGGCUACCUGGACAGAAACUGACGCUGAGGCGCGAAAGCUAGGGGAGCAAACAGG